GCCCUUGUAGCUCAGUUGGCAGAGCGCAUCCUUGGUAAGGAUGAGGUCGGCGGUUCAAAUCCGCUCGGGGGCUCCA
rnacentral:tRNA from 2 species